UGAGGAAUAUUGGUCAAUGGCCGCAGGGCUGAACCAGCCAAGUCGCGUGAGGGAUGACGGUCCUAUGGAUUGUAAACCUCUUUUGUCAGGGAGCAAAGGGCGCCACGUGUGGCGUUUUGCGAGUACCUGAAGAAAAAGCAUCGGCUAACUCCGUGCCAGCAGCCGCGGUAAUACGGAGGAUGCGAGCGUUAUCCGGAUUUAUUGGGUUUAAAGGGUGCGCAGGCGGAAUGUCAAGUCAGCGGUAAAAUUUCGGGGCUCAACCCCGUCGUGCCGUUGAAACUGGCGUUCUUGAGUGAGCGAGAAGUAUGCGGAAUGCGUGGUGUAGCGGUGAAAUGCAUAGAUAUCACGCAGAACUCCGAUUGCGAAGGCAGCAUACCGGCGCCCAACUGACGCUGAAGCACGAAAGCGUGGGUAUCGAACAGG
rnacentral:rRNA from 1 species